AGUAACUGAUAGCAUGGAUGAGUUAGACAUUAUUUCCAUCUCAGCUAGCUGUGGGCACUUGCAGGGUUUAGUCAGGAGUCUGGGUGCCUUACAUCUCUCCUGAAGUCAGCCAGGAAAUACAGACAUCACUGAAAGCAAAUCAACUCAGCUCCAGGUUGAACUGUCCUCUGGAAACGCAUUUCUAGUUCAAUGUCUAAAUAAGGAAUCAAGCAUGUGAUACCAUGAAGAAGACCCUGGAUCAAAAAAAAUGCUUGCAGUGAAAUGGGAAACUCCUCAGCAACUGAGUACAAAACCCUGCAUGAACAGCCUGGCCCCUAACAGGAAUGCAAUGAGCCCUUCGAGACCCAGCAUCCUGCCACUAAGUGAGAAGUGAAACAAGUGACAGCAAGUGAGAAGGAUAACCUGUCUCCUUCAGAGGGCUUUUUUCACAUUUACCAGGAUAAAUACUCAAAGUACAGGAGCGGAAGUCACUAUCUAUACAUAUAAUUUUUUGCAUUUACAAAGGUUUUUUGGUUACAUGAACAACAGUAAAAAGUUUUCCAGCAAUCAGCUGAGGAAAGUGAAGCACUCCUGCUCUGAUUUACUUUUCAGACCAGUAAAAAAACCAGGGAGUAAUGUAAUUUCACUUAUCUUUUUGGCACCAGAAGAGUAGUGAUACAAUGCCUGAGCCCAAUGAAGUCAGUGGUGAUCCUAGAAGCCAUUUGGUCUAUUGAUUUUAAAUGGGCUUAAAAUAUCUUUUUAAAAAGGCCUUCUGGAUCGUUUACUAAGCAGAGCCAAAUUGGAGAGGCCUGCCUUUGCUAUUACUUGAAGCAGUCUUGAAGUCUAGUGCCAGGCAUUUCAAGUCUAGCAGUUAAAUAACAUAAUAUGCGCCUGAAGUAUGUCACUG